GUAGGGUGCGAGCGUUAAUCGGAAUUACUGGGCGUAAAGCGUGCGUAGGCGGUUCGUUAAGUUCGCUGUGAAAGCCCCGGGCUCAACCUGGGAAUGGCAAUGGAAACUGGCGGGCUUGAGUAUGGCAGAGGGGGGUGGAAUUCCGCGUGUAGCAGUGAAAUGCGUAGAGAUGCGGAGGAACACCGAUGGCGAAGGCAGCCCCCUGGGCCAAUACUGACGCUCAGGCACGAAAGCGUGGGGAGCAAACAGGAUUAGAUACCCUGGUAGUCCACGCCCUAAACGAUGCUCACUAGGUGUUGGGGAAGCGAUUCCUUGGUACCGUAGCUAACGCGUGAAGUGAGCCGCCUGGGGAGUACGGCCGCAAGGUUA
rnacentral:rRNA from 1 species